GUGAAUCAUCAAAUUUUUGAACGCAAAUUGCGCUUCCUGGUAUCCCGGGAAGUAUGCCUGUUUGAGGGUCAGUAUUAACAAAAAAUCGGUUUGGUUGCAAAUUGUGACGUUUCCGGAGUUUGGGCUUAUCUUAACUUUUUUGGUUAAGGGGCUUAAAAUUGACCUUUUUUGGCAUUUUUUGGCGGUCAAAAAUUUUUUUUUUUUUCGGUUUUUUUUUAUUACAAAAUUCUAAUUGAUGCCAACUAAU
rnacentral:misc_RNA from 1 species